rnacentral:tmRNA from 1 species
UUGCCAACGACAACUAUGCUCCGGUGGCCGUCGCUGCGUAAUGCAGCGCCCAUACCGGGAUCAAAGCCCUAGGGGUUUGCACUUCUAGGCGGGGUCCGGAGGCGCCUGGCAACAGAAGCCUCCACU